AACCAGUACCGUGAGGGAAAGGUGAAAAGUACCCCGGAAGGGGAGUGAAAGAGAACUUGAAACCGUGUGCUUACAAGUAGUCAGAGCCCGUUAAUGGGUGAUGGCGUGCCUUUUGUAGAAUGAACCGGCGAGUUACGAUCUGAUGCAAGGUUAAGCAGAAAAUGUGGAGCCGUAGCGAAAGCGAGUCUGAAUAGGGCGAAUGAGUAUUUGGUCGUAGACCCGAAACCAGGUGAUCUACCCUUGGUCAGGUUGAAGUUCAGGUAACACUGAAUGGAGGACCGAACCGACUUACGUUGAAAAGUGAGCGGAUGAACUGAGGGUAGCGGAGAAAUUCCAAUCGAACUUGGAGAUAGCUGGUUCUCUCCGAAAUAGCUUUAGGGCUAGCCUCAAGUGAUGAUUAUUGGAGGUAGAGCACUGUUUGGACGAGGGGCCCCUCUCGGGUUACCGAAUUCAGACAAACUCCGAAUGCCAAAUAAUUUAACUUGGGAGUCAGAAUGUGGGUGAUAAGGUCCAUAUUCGAAAGGGAAACAGCCCAGACCACCAGCUAAGGUCCCAAAAUAUAUGUUAAGUGGAAAAGGAUGUGGCGUUGCCCAGACAACUAGGAUGUUGGCUUAGAAGCAGCCAUCAUUUAAAGAGUGCGUAAUAGCUCACUAGUCGAGUGACACUGCGCCGAAAAUGUACCGGGGCUAAACAUAUUACCGAAGCUGUGGAUUGUCCUUUGGACAAUGGUAGGAGAGCGUUCUAAGGGCGUUGAAGCAUGAUCGCAAGGACAUGUGGAGCGCUUAGAAGUGAGAAUGCCGGUGUGAGUAGCGAAAGACGGGUGAGAAUCCCGUCCACCGAUUGACUAAGGUUUCCAGAGGAAGGCUCGUCCGCUCUGGGUUAGUCGGGUCCUAAGCUGAGGCCGACAGGCGUAGGCGAUGGAUAACAGGUUGAUAUUCCUGUACCACCAUUAUUCGUUUUAAGCGAUGGGGGGACGCAGUAGGAUAGGCGAAGCGUGCUGUUGGAGUGCACGUCCAAGCAGUGAGAUUGAGUGUUAGGCAAAUCCGGCACUCUUAAGAUUGAGCUGUGAUGGGGAGAGGAACUUGUUCCUCGAGUCGUUGAUUUCACACUGCCGAGAAAAGCCUCUAGCUAGAAUAACGGUGCCCGUACCGCAAACCGACACAGGUAGUCAAGAUGAGAAUUCUAAGGUGAGCGAGCGAACUCUCGUUAAGGAACUCGGCAAAAUGACCCCGUAACUUCGGGAGAAGGGGUGCUCUUUGAGGUUCACGCUUCGAAGAGCCGCAGUGAAUAGGCCCAAGCGACUGUUUAUCAAAAACACAGGUCUCUGCUAAACCGUAAGGUGACGUAUAGGGGCUGACGCCUGCCCGGUGCUGGAAGGUUAAGAGGAGUGGUUAGCGCAAGCGAAGCUACGAAUCGAAGCCCCAGUAAACGGCGGCCGUAACUAUAACGGUCCUAAGGUAGCGAAAUUCCUUGUCGGGUAAGUUCCGACCCGCACGAAAGGCGUAACGAUUUGGGCACUGUCUCAACGAGAGACUCGGUGAAAUCAUAGUACCGGUGAAGAUGCCGGUUACCCGCGACAGGACGGAAAGACCCCGUGGAGCUUUACUGUAGCCUGAUAUUGAAAUUCGGUACAGUUUGUACAGGAUAGGUAGGAGCCUUAGAAGCGUGAGCGCUAGCUUACGUGGAGGCAUUGGUGGGAUACUACCCUAAUUGUAUUGGAUUUCUAACCCGCAGCACUUAUCGUGCUGGGAGACAGUGUCAGGCGGGCAGUUUGACUGGGGCGGUCGCCUCCUAAAGAGUAACGGAGGCGCUCAAAGGUUCCCUCAGAAUGGUUGGAAAUCAUUCAUAGAGUGUAAAGGCAUAAGGGAGCUUGACUGCGAGACCUACAAGUCGAGCAGGGUCGAAAGACGGACUUAGUGAUCCGGUGGUUCCGCAUGGAAGGGCCAUCGCUCAACGGAUAAAAGCUACCCCGGGGAUAACAGGCUUAUCUCCCCCAAGAGUUCACAUCGACGGGGAGGUUUGGCACCUCGAUGUCGGCUCAUCGCAUCCUGGGGCUGUAGUCGGUCCCAAGGGUUGGGCUGUUCGCCCAUUAAAGCGGUACGCGAGCUGGGUUCAGAACGUCGUGAGACAGUUCGGUCCCUAUCCGUCGUGGGCGUAGGAAAUUUGAGAGGAGCUGUCCUUAGUACGAGAGGACCGGGAUGGACAUACCUCUGGUGUACCAGUUGUCGUGCCAACGGCAUAGCUGGGUAGCUAUGUAUGGACGGGAUAAGUGCUGAAAGCAUCUAAGCAUGAAGCCCCCCU
rnacentral:rRNA from 1 species